rnacentral:lncRNA from 1 species
UCUUCUAAUAUCUAUCCCUCCUUCAUUUCUAAAUCAUCUUUUCCAUGUUUUCCUCUUCAGUCAUUUAAGUCGGACAGUAAGCUUGUUUUCAGCUAGCUGUAAUUAAAAUAUUAUCUAUGAGCACUUUCAAGCCAGACUGUCAUCAUCAAAGGAAAGAUGAGGCAAUUUUGGAGAAAACUCGGUGACACAUCAAAUCAUUUAGAUGAAUGCUUUAAUUUCACUAUUUUUCUUCAACUAACUUUAAAAUAUGUGGGUGAUUAUUUUAUAUAGGGAUUCGCAUGGUGCAAAAAUCAACAGAACUCCAAAUGAGGCACUGAGAGGGGGCCCCUGAGGGGGGCUCUUCUGCCCUGAGUGGUCCCUGACCUCCGCAGAGGCCAGGCAGACAAGCAUCCUGCCUUCCACCACCGCUUUCCAGAAGAGAAGACUAAUGAUGAACAGGAAACGAAGAUCCAGGGCCGACAGGACAGCACGGCAGACACGGCAGCGGGGCAGCGGACCGGAGCCACAGCCCUGGGUUCCCAGGUUCUCCACCCAGCAGGGAAGACAGGCUGGCAAAACGAUGACAUGCGUGGUGCUGGCUGCAAAGGAAGAUAACAGAUCUUCAGUUAGGAUGAGGUUCGGGAAUACUUCACUGAGAGGUGCAAAAGCACCAGAGUGGAGUCAAGCUGGGACCCGAACUCACUUGCAGAGUUCCUUAUGGGGAGGAGGUAUUCCAGGACUAGAGAACAGUGUUAGCCUUGAAGCAGGAAAAACCUGGACCAGAAACUGGAAGGCAAAGAAGAAGAAGAAAAAGAAAAUAAAUAAAUAAAAGUAAAAAUAAAGGCCUGGUGCAGUGGCUCACACUUGUAACCCCAGAACUUAAGGAGGCCGAGGUGGGCAGAUCAUGAGGUCAGAAGAUGGAGACCAUCCUGGCCAACAUGGUGAAACCCCGUCUCUACUGUAAUACAAAAAAUAAAUUAAAAAAUAAAAUAAAAAAUUAGCCCUGCGCUUGUAGUCCCAUCAGCUACUCAAGAGGCUGAGGCAGGGGAAUCGCUUGAACCCGGGGGCCAGAGGUUGCAGUGAGCCGAGAUCCCGCCACUGCACUCCAGCUUGGGCAACAGAGCAAAGCUGUCACAAAACAAAACAAAAACCCUCAGACAGGAGUGAAGACCGGCAUGAAGGAAGCAGGAGCCUGCACACUUGAAAAGGUGUAUUAGCAGCAGCCCCCGCGAGCCCUGAGGGACCUCCAAGAUGCCCUUCACUCUGAGGGCAGCGGGAAGACACUAAAGGGUUGAACAGGUUGGGUUUCUAAAAGGUCACGGACUACACUGUAGUGACAUCCAGGGCAUGUCACGGGACACCCAACAAGGGGAGAAAAGCAAACGCAGAAGGAGAGCUAGAGAGCUACAGACGAUGAUGGGGGCGGUGGAAGGAGGGCGGGGAGGGAAGUGACCUCCCAGCGCCGUCGUGGGCCGCAAUAGGCAAUCGACCUGUGCUGCAUGCUGGCCCCCACUGGAGAGGGGACAGUUGUUCCAUUCACGAGGAGGACGCAGAUCUGAGAGGCCGCGCGCGCUGCCCGGGUCCGCAGAGCCGCGCUGGGCUCCCGUCACCGCCCUCCAGGGGACCGUGGGAAGCGCUCCGCACCUGGAGCGCCCAGCUUUCCCAGGCCGCAGUUGCCGGGCGCAGGCUCCAGGCGCGCAUAGGGGCUCCGCGCAGCCCCCUUUGAGGCGGGAACGGAGGCGCAGACAGCCGGGCCUGGGCGCGCGGCCCCAAGGGCUGGGAGGGGGGAUCCGCCCGCAGCUCCGCGCUGAGGAACGCCGCCACCUGACAUCCCGCGCACCCGCACAGCGGCCCGGGCGUCCUAGCCUCCGCGAGAAAGACUGUGCCUGACAGACGAUGACGGUGACCGGCAGCUGGUGAGGAGGCAGCCGAGGAAAUCAGACACAGGACGUGCUGGACCUGCAGGCUGCACAGGCCCGCAGACUGCCCCUGUCCCUCCAGGCUCGGACUUGCGGGUCCCCGGGCUGCGUCCCUGCCCUGUGGCCGAGACUGUGACAGUGUUGGCAGCUCCCAGCCAAGUGCACUGACCGGUAUACUCAGGCUCACUCCACACACACAAAGGGACCAAAUUUCAGUAGCUCCACGCAACACUUAUUUCUCACUCUUACAUCCAGGGCAUGUCACGGGACACCCAACAAGUGAUUUAGGGACCAGACUCUUUCCCUCUUUGUACCACCUUAAAAAUGCGGCCUCCAAUUUCAAUGCCUAAAGGAAAAAGGAAUAAUCAAGGGUGAGAGAUUUUGCUGUGGCCUGUGACACAGCUCCACCUAAUGUAAAAAUGUUAGGGAGCUCAGGUUUCCUGGAAAAGGAAGUGUCUCUGGAGCAUUAAGACUUGGCCUGACACUUCCAUGCCUCCUAAACAGUCCCCUGUCCAUGCAGAGAGCACCCUUGGGCCUCAGAGGGGCAGCCACAGUCCCACCAGUCACUGCCCAUGCAAAGGACCCCCAGGCCAAGACUCCUCUUAGGCUACCACCAAUCACCUAGAGGGACAGCCGUUGUUCUCUUCCACCCAGCAAGCAAGCACAUUACCCCUGAAACAAACACCACACCACCAUUCCAAAACAGAGUGGGAGACACACCCCAUGCAGCCCCACAGGACACCUGACUCCACAGGCUGGCAUUGACUCUGGGGCUAUCCUCUGGGGAAAACUCCAUGCUCUGUUUUUCCUGGAUCUGCCCUUGUGAGGGUUCUUACUUGCUCACUGGACUUCAGUAUCUGAACUGGGUGCUGGGGAAACUUCCCUCUUAGGAUCCACAUACCCUGGAUCUCCCUUGCUGUCUGCUGUAGACUGAAUGGUUGCAUCCCCCCAAAACUCCUGUGUUGAAAUCCUAAUCACCAGUGCGACGAUAUUAGGAGGUGGGGACUUUGGUAUGUCAUGGGGUCGUCACAGUGGAACCCCCAUGAAUAGGCUAGUGCCCUUCUUUCAAAGGGGCUUUUGAGGACAGAGUGAGAAGAAGACUGACUGCAAUACAGGAAAUGGGCUGUUACCAGACAUGGAAUAUGCUGGCACCUUGAUCUUGGACUUCCCGCCUCCAGAACUGUGAAUAAUAAAUUUCUGAUGUUUCUAAGCC